rnacentral:misc_RNA from 1 species
UUUAGGACCAGAACGACCAACAUUAUGACGAGGUUUGAAUUCACCACCGCAUGUCGAGACGCUCAUAGCAUCCUUAGCUCGGAUUUUGGCCAACCGCGUGCGGUAACACACGGGAGACCAGCUUCCGUCCCAUAUCCUCGAGAAGAUGGGGGGACGACGAUUUGUGACACCCAGGCAGACGUGCCCUCGGCCAGAAGGCUUGGGGCGCAACUUGCGUUCAAAGACUCGAUGGUUCACGGGAUUCUGCAAUUCACACCAAGUAUCGCAUUUCGCUACGUUCUUCAUCGAUGCGAGAGCCGAGAUAUCCGUUGCCGAGAGUCGUUUUAGACUUUACAUUGCAGCACUGCUUCCGAACAAACACCGUUUCCGGGUUGUCGAACGCAAGCUGUUUAGUUGCAUGUUCCUUGACACUUUUCGUGCCGGGGUUUGGUGAUAUCCGGAAGCUAUGUGCACAACCCAACCGAVACUGAAGCCUUGAACAGGGACGAGACACAUAACCWCGGAAGUGGCAGGCACGGAAUCAKCAAA